UACGAAGGGGGCUAGCGUUGUUCGGAAUUACUGGGCGUAAAGGGCGCGUAGGCGGUCCUGAUCGUCGGAUGUGAAAGGCCUGGGCUCAACCUGGGAAUGGCAUCCGAUACGGCGGGACUGGAGUGUGGGAGAGGUUGGUGGAAUUCCCAGUGUAGAGGUGAAAUUCGUAGAUAUUGGGAAGAACACCGGUGGCGAAGGCGGCCAACUGGACCACAACUGACGCUGAGGAGCGAAAGCCAGGGGAGCAAACGGG
rnacentral:rRNA from 1 species